rnacentral:rRNA from 1 species
UACGUAGGGGGCAAGCGUUGUCCGGAUUCAUUGGGCGUAAAGAGCGUGUAGGCGGCCAGGUAGGUCGGUUGUGAAGACUGGAGGCUCAACCUUCAGAGGUCGACCGAAACCAUCUGGCUAGAGUCCGGGAGAGGAGAGUGGAAUUCCUGGUGUAGCGGUGAAAUGCGCAGAUAUCAGGAAGAACACCCGUGGCGAAAGCGGCUCUCUGGAACGGUACUGACGCUGAGACGCGAAAGCUAGGGGAGCAAACAGG